rnacentral:lncRNA from 1 species
ACAGUUCUCAGAACAGCUUUGGAGAUGAAACUCCUCUAUUGGCUUAUGAAAUUCCAGCCACAGAAGUCAUGAUAUUCUGAAUAGUGCUGGGAAACCAGGCUGCUCUAGGAUCUCUAGUGACUAACAGGGCCAAGGCCAGCUGCUCCUGAGUAGGAAGAACUCCUUCAGCCGACAAUAGGCGAGUUCCAGGAAGUUCACACCGUCUCUGAAUUAACUUCAUGCACAUGCCAGAUGGUCAUUUUUCCUUUGAAUGUUGCUGGAGGUACAAUUUCACAGACAAAAGCAAACCAAGACCUAAGGCAAGCAUAUGCCUCCAGGAAUAAGUAGUGACUUGUAAUGUCUGCUGUUUGUUAAAGGGUGUAUAGCUCGUGGCCACGCUUCAGACAAGUGUCGAUGUAUUUUCACUAGCUGUGCAGACAUUAAGACCUCUGUUCUGAAGCAGGCUUUGGCUUUGUCACUGUGCCUGUGCCUGUUAUGGUGCCACUGAGCCAAGAUCAUGCUGACCCCACUGCAGUAAACAGCAAAAUUUCCUCUGACUGCACCUGAGAAGGAUGUGCGCCUUCCAUUGUGGAAAGGAAUGAGCUACAGUGCCUAUGGCUGAGGGAAUAAGACCAGCAGUGAUAAGAAUGAAAUAGCAAAGGCUCUGAAGCAGCAUGAAGCAAUGAACAAUCCUCACUUUGAAAACCUUAUAGCGAAGAAGCUUUCCAAUGCUGCUGUCAAAAUUGUCAUUCCCCACCAGAUGCCCUAACUUCCCACUGCUCCCCGCUGGUACUGCUGCCCCUGUUGUCUCUCCAUCCAAAGAGUUUCUGAACAAGAGACAAGCUUUUAUGGAGCCUGGCAAAGCUUCAGAAGGGAAAAGGAAAAAUCGAUACUGCUUCAAAGCAAAGUCUUUGCUUCAGUGAAUAUGACAUUUGCCCUUUCUUCACUAGGGGGAAAAACAACAAGGACACUUACACCGGCAAUGGAAAUAGAAUGAACAACAGAGAGACCUUCCAGGUUUGACAUGUAAAGGGAAAUAACUUUGUAGUUUUUGUCCCUAUUUGGUGACAUCAAAAAACAGGUGUAGAGUGUUAGGCGGUGCAGUCUGAGAAUGAAGUGGAAAGUAACACAAAGUCAAAGAGGAGAGUUGAAGGAAUUUGGAACAAGUGAUAAUGGACUUGGCUGAAAAGAUGGAGAAUGAAAGACACUGCGCAAAGGUGAAGUCCAUUGUUGUACAAUCAAAUUAACUAUUAAAUGUCAGCUGCAAAGGUGGGCCAUAAUAUUAAAAGGACCUUCCAGUAAGUUUUACGCCAUUUUGACAGCUUUACAGCUACUGAAAAUGUCCAUAGAGCCUCACAGUUUGCUAAUGAAUGGCUUCUCUGUAAGGAUGAAGCAGGUCAGAAACUUUGAAAGAGAAGGUGGAAAUACUGAUUAAGGAAAUGGGUGCUUCUGCAAAAUCAAAACAACUCUGAAAAACACAUAUUUUUGGAGGAUUAACAAAGAAUUAAACUAAAUGUAAACCUUAGAAGCCUGCUCCAAUUCUUUUUCAUAGUCAGGUUUUCAUUAAUUUCAUUCUAAAACUGGUUAUAACUCUCUGAUUCCAUUCUAUUUUGACUAUGCCACUCCUUAGCUAGUUUACCAAG